rnacentral:tRNA from 2 species
GUCGGCGUGGCGGAACUAGGUAGACGCGCAUGGUUGAGGGCCAUGUGGACUUCGGUCCUUGGGGGUUCAAGUCCCCCCGCCGACA